rnacentral:rRNA from 1 species
GUACUCCCCAGGCGGGGUACUUAUUGCGUUAACUCCGGCACAGAAGGGGUCGAUACCUCCUACACCUAGUACCCAUCGUUUACGGCCAGGAUUACCGGGGUAUCUAAUCCCGUUCACUCCCCUGGCUUUCGCGCCUCAGCGUCAGACACAGUCCAGAAAGUCGCCUUCGCCACUGGUGUUCCUCCUAAUAUCUACGCAUUUCACCGCUACACUAGGAAUUCCACUUUCCUCUCCUGCACUCAAGAAAUGUAGUUUCCAUCCCAUCACGGGGUUGAGCCCCGAACUUUUAAGACAGACUUACAUUCCCGCCUGCGCGCGCUUUACGCCCAAUAAUUCCGGACAACGCUUGCCACCUACGUAUUACCGCGGCUGCUGGCACGUAGUUAGCCGUGGCUUCCUCCUCAGGUACCGUCAUUACUUAACAUUAUUCACAUUAAGCACAUUCGUCCCUGAAGACAGAGCUUUACGAUCCGAAAACCUUCUUCACUCACGCGGCGUUGCUCCGUCAGACUUUCG